GUUUCAUUUUCUACGAACUUGAUAGCCAGUAUGAGCAAGAGUUUUGGUAUAUCUCCCCAACAUGAACACAAAAAGCUCAGGGAGUCUGAAAUCAGAAUGCAAUGGAGGCAUAUUAUUUCCAAGUAUCAGUUCAAUUAGCAAGUUUAAUUCUUGGUGUCUGAUUUGUGAAUAUGUUCUUUAUAUUACUUCCUCAAGAUGAGUCAAUACUCAAAUGAAAGCAUCCCAAAUCUCUACCGGAAAAGGCAAGGAUUGAUUCAUCUUUGCAAUCAAUGUACAUAAACUAUUGUGGUGUUUACACUUGAUGUGGUUCCCAUUUAUAGAACUUCUUUUAGUUGAUCUGAUUAUCCAUCAGUCAGUAUACUCCUAUGAGUGGAAUAGUAUUCAUAUUUAUAAGUCAUUGGAUUGAGGCAAGCGUUCAAAUCCUUA